rnacentral:rRNA from 1 species
UACGGGGGGGGCAAGCGUUGUUCGGAAUUACUGGGCGUAAAGGGCUCGUAGGCGGCCAACUAAGUCAGACGUGAAAUCCCUCGGCUUAACCGGGGAACUGCGUCUGAUACUGGAUGGCUAGAGGUUGGGAGAGGGAUGCGGAAUUCCAGGUGUAGCGGUGAAAUUCGUAGAUAUUCGGAAGAACACCAGUGGCGAAGGCGGCUCACUGGUCCGGUACUGACGCUGAGGUGCGAAAGCGUGGGGAGCAAACAGG